rnacentral:lncRNA from 1 species
GCAAUAUUGUGAAGCAAGCGUCGGCAAGAAAAUUCAAGAAACUAGGCAAUUUCCUCCCGACAAAAACAUCAAGGUAAAAGUACUCUCCAACUAUUAUUAUCCCUACUAUAAUCCUUGGGAAAAAACAAAAAAGAAAAGCUUGAUUCCUGUUUGGCUCUUGAGCUACUAGGACUAUCCCUUUGUACCUUCGGUGUGAUACUGCUAGUCUUCACGUGUAGUUGCCUCCCCUUCCCCAUGUUGAAUCCGGAUGAUACAGAAGAAAUGGAGCGUUCUUGAAUUAUCUUGCCUAUUGUCUUGCAUCUUGCCUCUGCAACAGAAAAGAAGAGGAAAAAUC